rnacentral:lncRNA from 1 species
UAAGGGUGGAAACCCUCGUGUGGAUAGUUUUGCUUCAUCUCGCUCAUAAGAAACCACCAAGGGUGGAAACCCUGGUGUGGAUAGUGAGCCAGAUGGUAUUGUUGUACCCUUCAUAAUGUCCCCACAUAUGUGUAUUGUGGAGGGUGUAAAGAUUGUGAGUGUGAAAUAUGGAGCUUGUCUUUGCCUUUCUCGAUGCAAAGGAAUUUAACCCAUUACUUCUCUCAGAUCCAGCUUCCUCCCUCGGAUGAUCCAUUCUCUCAAUGAUUCAAUCGAUACCCUACUAUCUUUUGAACUCUUCUGGAUAAGAUAAGGGUGUUUUGGGUAGAAAAACGUGAUUCCGGAUGAAGGCUUUGUCCCGGAAUCCGAAUACUAGUUAUUGUUCGGUAGUCUGAUUCCGAGAAUAUUAGGAAUUGGAUUGCUGAUUUUGAGUGGACCCUGCAUAAAUUUUUAUUCCCCAAUGGAUAGUAGACACUGGAAUCCUUUCAGUCAUGAAUGAUUCUCUUUCAUUUCAUUUCCAACCCCUGUUGGUAAACACGCACAGAUGUUGUAUAGAGACUUUCAAAUGACAGAUGUAUUCCUGUUGGACCACAUAGCUUGGUGAGUAAAAUGAGUACUACCCAGACAGCAACUAAGUAUCAUCCGUGCAGAUGGGCCGAACUUUAUCUCCUUCCUCUCUCACACACACAGUACACACGCACGCACAGAGAAAAGAGAGACGGCGGAGCCGCGCAGAGAGAGAGAGAGAGAGUAGUGUUUCCCUUUCAUCUCUUACUUAUCUCCAGACUCUGCAAAUCAUAACAGCAAGUGGAUUAGCUAGCUGCCUGGAUUGCAAUCCCGACCCUCUGUUUUCCAGGCAAGUGUUUGUUCCUUCUUCUUACUCCCACUUUCUUUUUUUUCCAGUGUUUGGUUAUUAAUUUAUUAAUUUAUUGUUAUUAUUUCAAUUUUUUCAACCUCAAUUUGCUGUAAUUUUUUACCCUCUCUAAUAAAAUUUGUUUCGCCUGAUUUUUGUUUGCUUCAAACAAGAACGCUUACUGCAUUCGGGCCAUUCAUAUUUUUUGCUUAUUGCAGUUCAGCCAUCGACUUCGCCUAUGUAAUUUUACAUUGCCGGUCCCAAGCCCGGAUAAAGGAGGAGGGGGAGGGCGUCAGGUAGUCGACAGCCGGCACUCCAUGAUCACGUCGAAUCCUUAUGAAAAUGAAUCCAGAACAAAAUCGCGCUAAAGCUAGGGCGUCACCCGUAAGUGGUGCGCUGUGUGGCCCGAGCACAGUGAUAAGUGAGCAAGGGUCGCUGUAUCUCCAUCGGCACCCGGAUGCAGUGUUAAAUGAGCAAGGGGGCCGUAGAAACUUCUUUUCGAACGACUUCACUCAAAGUUGUUUGGGAGCAUAUGCUCCUAUCAACUUUACACGGGACACACAAAAGAAGUACUUUGAUCAUAUUAGACGGGGGAGGGUGAAGAAGCUAGGACAGAAGGGUAGAGUUCAAGAGAGCAAAAUGCGUUUAGGAACGUGGAAUAUAGGAACCUUAACGGGAAAAUCUAUGGAAGUAGUGGAAGUUAUGGUGAGGAGAAGGAUAAAUAUUAUGUGCCUACAAGAAACUAAGUGGGUUGGUAGUAAGGCAAAGGAUCUAGAAAACUCAGGGUUUAAAACUUUGGUAUUCGGGCACAAAUAGAACGAGAAACGGUGUUGGGCAUCAUCGUGGACAAGACCUUGACACAAGAUGUUGUAGAUGUCAAGAGGGUAGGAGAUAGAAUCAUGGCAAUCAAGAUUGUAAUAGGACAAGAACUUAUCAAUGUGAUUAGUGCGUACGCACCUCAAGUAGGAUUGGAUACGAGUUCGAAUGAGAAAUUUUGGGAAGACCUUGGAGACUUGGUGCAAGGAAUUGCUCAGACGGAGAAGUUAUUUAUAGGAGGAGAUUUAAAUGGACACAUGGGCAGGGAGACAGGCAACUAUGGAGGUUUUCAUGGUGGCCAUGGUUUUGGGGAGAGAAACGAGGAUAGGGAAGCUAUCUUGGAUUUUGCAAUGGCAUAUGAUCUCUUCUUAGCCAACACCUUCUUUAAGAAGAGAGAAGAACAUGUGAUCACCUACAAGAGUGGGUCGUCAAAAACACAAAUAGAUUUUCUUCUAAUGAGGAAAAGGGAUCGUAUAACUUGUAAGGAUUGCAAAGUUAUACCAGGAGAGAGCGUGGCUAAUCAACAUCGCUUGUUGGUGAUGGAUGUACAUAUCAAAAGAGUGAGACAAAAGAACAAGACUUGGAAGUGCCCAAGGACUAGAUGGUGGAAUCUAAAAGAAGAAAAACAAGUCAUUUUCAAAGAGAAGGUAAUCACCCAAUGUGUGUGGGAUAGAGAGGGGGAAGCUAGCCAAAUGUGGGAUUCCAUGGCUAGUUGUAUCCGAAAAGUAGCAAAAGAGGUAUUAGGAGAGUCCAAGGGCUUUGCCCCACACCAAAAGGAAUCUUGGUGGUGGAAUGAGGAGGUACAAACAAAGGUGAAGACUAAGAAGGAAUGUUGUAAAGCCUUAUACAAGGAGAGGACCGAUGAAAAUGGUGAAAGGUAUAGAAAAGCGAAGCAAGAGGCGAAGAAAGCUGUCAGAGAAGCUAAGUUAGCGGCUUACGACGAUAUGUAUAAACGACUAGAUACCAAAGAAGGAGAGUUGGAUAUCUAUAAACUAGCUAGAGCAAGGGAAAAGAAGACAAGGGACCUAAACCAAGUGAGGUGCAUCAAGGAUGAGGAUGGAAAGGUUCUUGCUACAGAGAACGCGGUUAAAGACAGAUGGAGAGGUUAUUUUCAUAAUCUUUUCAAUGAAGGACAUGAAAGGAGUGCUUCUUUAGGGGAGUUGAGUAACUCAGAAGAGUGUAGAAACAACUCUUUUUAUCGUCGAAUCCGGAAGGAAGAAGUGGUUGUAGCUUUGAAGAAGAUGAAGCAUAGAAAAGCAACAGGCCCAGACGAUAUACCAAUCGAAGUGUGGAAAGUUUUGGGAGAGACAGGUAUAACAUGACUCACUGACCUUUUCAAUAGGAUUUUGAAAACGAAGAAGAUGCCAAAUGAGUGGCGAACGAGCACUUUGGUGCCUAUCUACAAGAAUAAGGGCGACGUACAAAAUUGCAUGAACUAUAGGGGUAUUAAGUUAAUGAGUCAUACAAUGAAGCUCUGGGAGAGAGUCAUUGAGCAUAGAUUGAGGCAAGAGACACGGGUUUCGGACAACCAAUUCGGGUUCAUGCCAGGGCGCUCAACCAUGGAGGCAAUCUAUCUCUUACGAAGAUUGAUGGAAAGAUAUAGAGAUGGGAAAAAUGAUUUACACAUGGUCUUUAUAGAUUUUGGAAAAAAGCGUAUGAUAGGGUCCCAAGAGACAUUCUUUGGAGGAUUUUAGAGAAGAAAGGAGUACGAAUAGCAUAUAUCCAAGCUAUAAAGGAUAUGUAUGAAGGAGCAAAGACUGCCGUAAGAACUCAUGAAGGACAAACCGAAAGCUUUCCCAUAACUGUAGGAUUACAUCAAGGCUCAUCCUUAAGUCCUUACCUUUUUGCGUUGGUAAUGGAUGAGUUAACAGGACAUAUUCAAGAUGAUAUUCCUUGGUGUAUGCUUUUCGCAGACGAUAUAGUGUUGAUAGAUGAAACUCAGGAAGGGGUAAAUGCAAAGCUUAACCUUUGGAGAGAAGUGUUGGAAUCUAAAGGUCUUCGCCUAAGCCGAUCAAAGACAGAAUAUAUAGAGUGCAAGUUCAGUGCAAAUGGAGGCCAAAACGAGUUAGGGGUGAGGAUCGGAGAUCAAGAAAUACCAAAGAGCGACCGUUUUCGUUACCUAGGAUCUAUCUUGCAAAAGAACGGAGAAUUAGAUGGAGAUCUCAACCAUCGAAUACAAGCUGGAUGGAUGAAGUGGAAGAGUGCAUCUGGUGUGUUGUGUGACCGCCGUAUGCCACUGAAGCUCAAGGGAAAAUUUUAUAGGACGGCAAUAAGGCCGGCGAUGCUGUAUGGCACAGAAUGUUGGGCGGUGAAGCAUCAACACGUACACAAAAUGGGUGUAGCGGAGAUGAGGAUGCUUCGUUGGAUGUGUGGGCACACGAGAAAGGAUAAGAUUAGGAAUGAGGAUAUCCGGGGUAAAGUAGGAGUAGUCGAAAUUGAAGGAAAGAUGAGAGAAAAUCGGUUACGGUGGUUUGGACAUGUGCAAAGAAGGCCUACUGACGCUCCGAUUAGAAGAUGCGACUAUGGGACAGAGGUUCAGGGCCGAAGGGGUAGAGGAAGACCUAGGAAAACUUUGGAAGAGACUCUAAGAAAAGACUUAGAGUACUUGGAUCUAACGAAGGACAUGACACAGGACCGAGCACAAUGGCGUUCUAAGAUUCAUAUAGCCGAUCCUACUCAGUGACUUGGAUUUUCCAAGUCGCCAACCGAGAAGUUUUCCUCACUCGGAAAAUUAAGGGAACACUACCCCAACCUACAUGCUCCACUCAGAAAGCUUCAACAUACAAGCUUCAACAAAAAGAAAAUUCAAAGAACUUAGCGAAGAAGGCUUUGGUGUAUUUAACACAAUACGUUGAAAUGAAGGAAAACUUAUUUAUUGAUAUCCCCGAUAAGCUACAAAUAUGUACAUAUACAUGAGUCAAAAUAAACAAACAAGAUGGAGCCUUCACAAAGGUUGCUUAGGAGAAGUCUCAGCAGUCGGUAGAGCCCCAGAAAGAGAAGGCAUCGAAGGGGGAUCAUUCGGAGCCUCAGUACUGGACAGAACCCUAGAAGGAGGAGGUAUCAGAGGUUGAUCAUUUGGAGCUUCAUUACGCGGUACAGCCCCAGAAGACGAAGGCAAUAAAUGCCUUUGGAACAAACCCACAAAUCUCUGAUGAUCAAGUAAAACCUGACCAUCAGUUUCCUUCAUCUGGUCAAGCUUCCUCUUCAUGUUUGUAGCAUAGUCAUGUGCAAGCCGGUGCAACUGUUUAUUCUCAUGCUUGAGCCCUCUAAUCUCCUGUUUGAGACUCAUCACUUCGGCCGCCAAUGAUUCAACUUGGCAGGUUCGAGCAAAUAGGCGUUGGGCCAUAUUAGACACAGAACCUGCACACUGAACACUGAGAGCCAGCGAAUCCUUAACAGCUAACUCAUCAGACCGUUUGGAAAGUAGUCUGUUAUCUUUGGGAGUGAGAAGGUUCCUGGCCACCACCGCAGCGGUCAUAUCAUUCUUCAUCACGGAAUCCCCAACGGUAAGAGGACCAGUAGGGGAGACGAAGGAUGGGCGCCAUAUGUUGUCUGGAGAAUGCGGGGCUGCCUCUUCAACAAGGUUCAAGUCAAAACGACAGUCGGAGGGGCCAGACAUUUUCAAAGGUGUUGAAGAGAAGAAGUCGGACAAAUCAAGAUCUUAGAAGUGCAAGAAUGGAGCUUCUACUGGUGGAGAUUCAAGUGUACUUUGGAACUUAAUGCCAGCCUCUAUAAAAAGCUGCACUCGACGGAGCUUCAGACAUCGAAGAGGCGCCUGCUCAGAAAUCGAAGAGGCGUUUGCUUUCUCAAAAGCUGGGCUGCUUAGAGACCACGAGGGUGAUCUCAUAAAUCGAAGAGGUGUUUGCUUUCUCAAAAGUUAGGCUGCUCAAAGACCAUGAAAGCCGAUCUCAGAAAUCGAAGAGGCGCUCGCUUUCUCAAAAGCUGGGCUCCUCAGAGACCACGAGGGCCGAUCUCAGAAAUCGAAGAGGCACCUACUUUUCCAGCCUUGUCAGCACCUGUCACACGCACACUCAGCUUUGCGGAAAUUAUGGGUAUUCUGUCGAAGACUUCUGGGGAAGUAGAAAACACAUGAAUCUUACUGUUCAAUCACCCACUUCCCACACGCAACAAUAGCUUAUGGGUACCACAGAUAACUUUGCCAAAGUUCUCUGCCAAAGUUGAGCACGUGAAGCUUGCAGCUCCCACUACAUCGCUCUGACCAAGAAGGGUAAAAGAAUAGCAAAGAAACAGCACUAACAAAGUUUAGACCCAUAAAUUUUGAAGGUCUAGCUACCAUAUUAUUACCCACAAGGGUAAAGGAACAGUACCACUGCUGGAUAAUUGGAAAGUCCCUGUGUCAACCUCUGUGCCUCGUGGCAAGGUAGACUAGCAAACAUGCCCAACAUUUACUCACAUUCGAGAAAACACUCCCAAUAAGAUUGCUUGCUCCAAAAUCGAAGAGGCACCGUCCUCCGAAUCUCGAGAGCCAGACUCCCAACAUGACUACUUUCUCAAAAAUCGAAGAGAGGGUAAAGGAACAGUACCAUUGCUGGAUAAUUGGAAAGUCCCUGUGUGUCAACCUCUGUGCUUCGUGGCAAUGUAGACUAGCAAACAUGCCCAACCAUUACUCACAUUCGAGAAAACACUUCCAACAAGAUUGCUUGCUCCAAAAUCGAAGAGGCACCGCCCUCCGAAUCUCGAGAGCCAGACUCCCAACAUGAUUACUUUCUCAAAAAUCGAAGAGACAUUGCUCCCCGAAUCUCGAGAGCCAGACCCCCAGCAUGAUUGCUUUCUCAAAAAUCGAAGAGGCAUCGUUCUCCGAAUCAAUCGAAGAGGCGCUCGCUUUCUCAAAAGCUGGGCUACUCAGAGAUCACGAGGGCCGAUCUCAGAAAUCGAAGAGGCACCUACUUUUCUAGCCUUAUCAGCACCUGUCACACGCACACUCAGCUUUGCGGAAAUUAUGGGCAUUCUGUCGAAGACUUCUGGUGAAGUCGAAAGCACAUGAAUCUUACUGUUCAAUCACCCACUUCCCACACGCAACAAUAGCUCAUGGGUACCACAGAUAACUUUGCCAAAGUCUCUGCCAAAGUUGAGCACGUGAAGCUUGCAGCUCCCACUACAUCGCUCUGACCAAGAAAGGUAAAAGAAUAGCAAAGAAACAGCACUAACAAAGUUUAGACACAUAAAUUUUGAAGGUCUAGCUACCAUAUUAUUACCCACAAGGGUAAAGGAACAGUACCACUGCUGGAUAAUUGGAAAGUCCCUGUGUGUCAACCUCUGUGCCUCGUGGCAAGGUAGACUAGCAAACAUGCCAAACCUUUACUCACAUUCGAGAAAACACUCCCAACAAGAUUGCUUACUAAAAAAUUGAAGAGGCACCGCCCUCCGAAUCUCGAGAGCCAGACUCCUAACAUGAUUACUUUCUAAAAAAUCGAAGAGACACUGCUCCCCAAAUCUCGAGAGCCAGACCCCCAGCAUGAUUGCUUUCUCAAAAAUCGAAGAAGCAUCGUUCUCCGAAUCUCGAGAGCCAGAUACCACAUACCACUUUUUCAAAGUGCUCUGACAGAGUUAAAACAUGUGAAGCUGGCAGCUCCCACUACCGUGCUAUGACCAAGCAGGGUAAAGGAAUAGCACUACUACUUGUUGUUAGGGAGACUCCUAUAUAUGUCGACCUCCAUCCCCAACGGACAGGCAGACCUGCAAAAAUGCUUAACCCUUCCUCAUAUCUGAGAGGGCACUCCCAACGAAGCCUUUCUAAAUAUUCAGCUUUCUUUCCCCCCGAUAAUACCUCUGCAAACAAGCUAUACUAGAGCAAGAAUAUCUCAUAUCAUCAGGGUUAAAAGCAAGAGUAUCCCAUAUCAUGCUUUUUCCCUGUCUUUUCCUUUGGCCUUGUUUUUACCUGCAAGACAAGGAGAAAGAGAGCAAUCAGUCAGCACUUGAAAUCAAGCUCCCAACCAGGAACUGACUGCCUGGAACCCCUUACCUGAUUACUUACCUGGCAUUGCUCUCGAGUACUCAUCUUCAACAUCUUAUGUUUCCAGGGAAGAUACCGCAUCUGCUUGAGGAACAGAUAGGGCAAGUGCGAAGGAUACAAGGAAGCAUGUGGAGACAAGCAUAACAGCACACGUGCCUAUACAUCCAUUACUCUGUCAAAAGCAAAAGUAUCCCAUAUCAGCAGGGUCGAACGUACUCUAGAUUUGAUGGACUUGUUUUGACCCUCAAAUUCUUCAGUCGGCCUUAUACUCUGGAGGAAACCAGAAAACCCUCCAGCUCAGUUCAAGAAUAAGCCUGUGGAAAGUUACUUCUUCAAAAGCAAAAGUAUCCCAUAUCAUCUCUUCUCAUUUUUCUUCUCUUUAUCCUUCAUGCUGCUGCAAGAUGGGGAGAAGGUGAACAAUCAGUCGGAGCUCUGAUUGCUUACCUUGUCUGUCACCUCUUUCAGCAGAUCCCCUAGCUCGGCGACUUGGGGGACUCCUACUACAUGGUUUGUAUCGCGCUUGACCAAGCCUGAAACUACAAGUAAGCUUCAAGUGAAAUUGAUACAUUACCUUGUGCAUCUCCACCAGUUAAAGAUACCACCCCUGGAUGGAGGAAGAGUACUUCCAGAGAAGCUGCCACAUCUACCUAUGAGACAGAUAAGGCAAGUCAAGAUGAUACCACACUCCGAUACUUAGAAGUUUCGUGAUUACGAGAUCAUUCUCCCACAAUAUUUCCUAAUGUCAUUUGUACUCUAAUGUCAUUUGUACUAAAUCAUUCACUUGUACUCACUAAAGGAGAGCUUAAACCUAUGUACUUGUGUGUAAACCCUUCACAAUUAAUGAGAACUCUUCUAUUCCGUGGACGUAGCCAAUCUGGGUGAACCACGUACAUCUUGUGUUUGCUUUCCUAUCUCUAUCCAUUUAUAUACUUAUCCACACUAAUGACCGGAGCAAUCUAGCGAAGAUCACAAAAAGCGACCGUUUUCGCUACCUAGGAUCUAUCUUGCAAGAGAACGGAGAAUUAGAUGGAGAUCUCAACUAUAGAAUACGAGCUGGAUGGAUGAAGUGUAAGAGUGCAUCCGGCGUGUUGUGUGACUGUCGUAAGCCACUGAAGCUCAAGGGAAAAUUUUAUAGGACGACAAUAAGGCCAGCGAUGUUGUAUGGCACAGAAUGUUGGGCGGUGAAACAUCAACACGUACACAAAAUGGGUGUAGCGGAGAUGAGGAUGCUUCGUGGGAUGUGUGGGCACACGAGAAAGGAUAAGAUUGAGAAUGAGGAUAUCCGAGGUAAAGUAGGAGUAGCCGAAAUUGAAGGAAAGAUGAGAGAAAAUCGGUUUCGGUGAUUUGGACAUGUGCAAAGAAGGCCGACUGACGCUCCGGUUCGAAGAUGUGACUACGGGACAGAGGUUCAGGGCCGAAGGGGUAGAGGAAGACCUAGGAAAACUUUGGAAGAGACUCUAAGGCUUAGAGUACUUGGAUCUAACGGAGGACAUGACACAAAACCGAGCGCAAUGGCGUUCUAGGAUUCAUAUAGCCGACCUCACUUAGUGGGAAAAGGCUUUGUUGUUGUUGUUGUUGUUGCAGUUCAGCCAUCGAACUAUCGUGUAUUUUUGUUGUGUCGAAUGUUCAAACUAUCGUGCUUGGUCAUGAGAUUUUUACUUUGUCCUGGCCUGGCGUAUGAACUAGUCCAAGUUUAUAAUAUAAAGGCGAAUUUCAAGUAGACCUGGCAUUUUUGGACCCGAUCCGUUAACCCGGCCCGUUAAUAUUAGUAUUUGGAUGGAUGCUUAACGAGCCGGGUCACAACCCAUUAAAUAAUGAAUCACUUUGGAUCAAUCCAUUAGAUCCGUUAGUUGAGAAGGUUCGAGUAAUUUCACUUUUGGGGUUGCCCGCAUAGGGCGUACCCGGAAAUGAGAGCAGUCCAAGAGACAAGGUUUCUCCUGCGCAUUCCAUCAAACGGUUGGUGGGCGUAAUCCAAGUGACCAAAUUUGGCAUACAUAUUGAUGGAAGAAUCGCCGGCCAAAGAUAGAUAAUGUUUUUUUUUUUCAGAAAACUUUGUUAAAGAAUCUGACCUCCGCUCAAAGAAUCGCCGGCCAAUGAUAGAUUAUGUUUUUUUCUUCAGAAAACUUGUAGGUCCUCCAUUAUCCCCUCACUACUUCAAAGUUCAUUCGACCUCCGCUCCCGCCAUGGGCAUUAAGACCAGAAAUGGGCAUUGAUCGAUGAGCAAAAUCUGACAAAAGCUUCCGUUGAUGCUCAUCUGUGUGAGGAAGACUAGCACGCAGAAGCUCCACAGGCAUUUCAUGAUGUAGCGCCCUGGUGGCCUCUGAACCAAUAACUUCUGUGCUUUGAUGACUAUAUAAAUAUUGAUUAUACUAUAGUUUCAUAGGCAAUACUUGGUGAGCAGACCCAAAAAUUCAUCAAAGGAUGCCUGCCAAAGGCGCGCGGUUAGAAAUGCUACAGCUUCCAGUAGCGUGAAGGUCACUUAAGAGUACAGUUGCAUUGGAAUGCAAAAAUAUUAAAAAAUAAAUAAAUAAAAAAGUUAACGGGUCUUAACGAAUGAAACGGAUGACCUAUUAGAUUAACAGGUUAAGUUCGGAUGAUCUGUUAGCUUAACGGGUCAGAUUGAAUCUAACCCAAACCCGAUAAACUCUACAUGUUUACAGGUCUUUCAAGAUGUCGCUGGACUUGUAAAUCAAGUUUUAAAGAUAACAAAUAGGAUAUUACACACUUGUCAAUAACUUGCGUUUUAUAACGUAUAAAGUAUAAAAAUUACUAAAAUAACAAGUCUUGCCUAUUUGUUGUCUUAUUUCUUGAACAGACAAGUGAGCUCUCACAGUACAAAUUUCCCCUAAAGUAUUUCCUAAUUCUAUUGGAUAAAGAUGCUUAGGAUUGUUGGAUUAAAAAGUCCGAAUCUUAUUCAGUUCCAAUGACUUCGAACCCUUCAGACUCUUCACUUGAUCCACAUGCUUCAGGCUCAUCUCUUGAUCGACCACCUUUGGAAUUGUCAUCUUGUCUUGUUUCUUCUUCUACUUUUGGUUCCGUCGACAUGAAGACAUGAUCAAAUUUGAAUUUCUCAACAUCUUCGGCAUACAAUGGGCGUAUACCACAGCUUUCCACCUUCAUGGAUUUGGAAGGUGGCAAGCUGCCCGCUGGAUUAUUUUUCCCAAACAUAGCCCGUCGUGGCAAGCUGCCCGCUGGAUUAUUUUUCCCAAACAUAGCCCGUCGUGGCAAGCUGCCCGCUGGAAUAUUUAUCCCAAGGGAAGGCGGUGGUGGUGGCGGCAAGCUGCCCGCUGGAUUAUUUAUCCUACGGGAAGACCCCGAUCUGAGGACGAAAAAAGCCCGCUGGUAGGAGUCAACAGGGUAGAAGUCAACAGAGACCUCAUUGACAAGUUUGUAAACAUUAGGGGAGCAUUUUUCUGCUACCCUUUCACUACUAAAGGCCUCAUUCCACACAAGCACGUGAUAUUGGUCGUAACCGUAGUCAUUCUGGCGGCUGUCUUGUGGGAUAGAGAAUACAGAAGUGAACAGUUCAUGGCUUUCACACAUGAAUUUGACAAUGAAAUUAGCUCUUACAAUCAAGGAACGUUGCGGCUCUGGAACCCCAGAAACAACAGCAGACAGAGCGAAACCAAAUAAACCUGUUUGAAACCAAUCUGGACGAAGCUUGAUGUUUACUGAAGAUCCCUCACUUUGAUAGCUGAACCAAUUUGGAAUUUCUUUUCCCUGACAUACAACCUGAAUCUCAGGCCAAGGAGUGUCCUUUGAUGGAGCACUAGUUGCCUCUCGCAUAAUUCUAAUCUGUGCUUCUUCCAUUAUGUUGCUCCUUGCAUUAUUAUCCAAUUUUGGGCAAUUAAUAAAACGUUUGCAAAAGCAAUCAUGUUGAACCCAACCUUGUGUGAGUACUGUCCUUGUACUUGACACUGUCUUCAGCGACGUGCAGCCUUCAGCUUCAACAUUACAUAGCACUGGGAGCUCUGGUAAAGAUUGAAGCUGCUCGCAGCCGACUAAGAAGAGUUUAGACAACCGAGAAGCUUGUUUGAUGCUUGUAGGUAUGCUCCUAACCUUGGUUCCACUCAGAUUUAAUUCUUGCAAUGAGGUUGAGCAAACGAGACCAUCAGGGACAUCCUUAAGGUGCUUGCAGCCACUAAGGUCUAAAGUUUGAAGCCUAAUUAGAUUUUCAAUAGGCGAAGGAAGCAUUUUGACAGCUGUCUCUUUCAAACAAAGAGACACCAAAUGUUCCAUUGGCUCCAAGAUCUCUGGGAAGUUUUCAAGUUUAGAGCAGCCAGAUAGAUUGAGUUCCUCCAGAUAUUUCAACUUACAAAUGUGGGUUGGUAGACUCACAAGUCUCUUGAAAUCAACCAAUGAUAAUUUAGUUAUAUCCCUGGGAAGCUCAGAAAACUCACCAAGAGAUGUGCAGCUCUCAAUACCCAAAACAUUAGAGACUUUCAGCUCACAGUUGUUGCUUGGAAGUUUCUCAAGGUCUUCGCAACGACCUAUAUUUAAGUAAGAAAUAUUUUUGUUAGACCAAACUGAUUCAGGCAACUCCUUUAUACCAGCGCCUCGUAAAUUUAAGUGUUGAAUAUUUCCUGGCAUCUCUGGAAGAUACUUGAGGCUGGUACAGUCUUGAAGAUGAAGAUGAGUAAGCUUGUCAAGAUGUUGAAAACACCCAGGAAUUUCAACCAAACUAAAACAGCCAUUGAGAUUUAUGUGCACAAUUUUUAGACUCCCAGAGAGAUUUGGAACUUCAAUUAGAUUUAUGGAGUGACGCAGAUCAAUAACUUGUAAGUUGACAAGUAUCUGCAACAAAUGAAAUAGAAAUAUAAAGAAUUAAUAUAAUUUCUACACUUGAUUUUAUACAAGAAUUAAAAUAGGCCUAUAAUAUAAUAUAAUAUACCUGGUCUUCUCUCCAAAGCUUCUUCUUAACAUUGCUAUAGGGCAAAUGUAGCUCAACUAGAUUUUCCGGACAAAAAUUUGAUGGCAAAGAUUCCAAUGGAUACCAAUCACAGUAAAGAUAACGAAGAGAAUCGGGAAGGUCUAGGGAAGCGUUCAAUUUGUGGCCACCAUACACAAUUAGCAAUCUUAGGUUACACAUCACUUUGAAGUCUGCACGUUUCAAUGGUCGCUUUGCAAUGUAAGACCAAUGAACCCGUAUGGCUUCAACAUUUGGAGUUUCCUGAGAAUAAAUGUGAAUAUAAACAUGUUAAAAUGUAACGCACAUUUGGAAAAAGAGUAUUUCCGAUGGUAAACAUGUACAAGUGUCUUAGCCUAGUCAAAUAUCCAAGAUAUUUGGUUCAUAUUCCAAAGACUUCCUAACACAAUAAAAAUUCAAUCAAAUUCAUCUCUUAACAAUCUGACUUCUUUAUUAUAAAUUAGUUUUACUUUGUUUUGUUGUCAUCUAAAGUUGUAAUUUUUUUCCUAAACAAAAAAGAAAAAAAAAUUGAAUGCAUUUGGCUCUUACCGUGUUACUCCUCAAUACACAAUAGACAUCCUCAUCAUUGAACAACCUACUCCGUUUACCGGGAUCUUUAAGUACAAUUGUCCUUCCCAUUUCUUGUAGCAAAUCGUGCAUCUCUAUGGUUUCCCUUCCCCAAUUUGAAUCAAUUGAUAUGAGAGACAUAUCAAUGAGACGUCUAAUUCCGGGUGUCGCAACAAAUCCACGAACAUCUAACAUUCGUUUUACCUCAUCCACAAGAUCCCCUUUAUGCCAACAAGCUAUAUCCAGAAAUAUCUCUUUCUCAUUCUCUUCCAAUCUAUCAUAACUUAUUCUCAACACUUUCUGGAUAUCUUCACUGGGAAAUCGUUUUAGUCUGUUGAAUUCAUCUUCCCAGUCUUCUUUGUUGCUCUGACAAUUGAAGAACAAUGACCCUAGAACUGUAAGAGCUAAAGGAACGCCUCUGGCAUAAUGCACAGCCUUUUCUGCCAACUCCUUAUAAUCUGUUAUACAAGUACUGUUAUUCUUGAAAGCACGCGAACAGAAGAGCUGAAGAGCGUCAUCCGGUUUUAAUACCUCAACCUCGUAGAUAUUAUCCGCUUCAACAGUUGCCGUAAGUGUGCCCCUGUCUCUACUUGUGAUAAUGAUUCUACUUCCAGUGCCAUACCGAAGACGAUUGCCAACUACACGUUCCAUUUGCAUUGGAGUAUUCACAUCAUCAAGAACAAUGAGGACCUUUGUGCGGCUGAGCCUUUUUCGAACACUAGUUGAUCCUAUGGAUAGAUCUUCUUCCUUGAAUAUCUCGCUUAGAAGUUUCUUUUGCAGGCAAUCUAGUCCAUCUGGUUGUUCAGAUUUCUCCCUAACAUUUUUAAGAAAACAAGAAGCUUCGAAUUUAGAAGAGAGUCUGUGAAAUACAGCUUCAGCAAGGGUGGUCUUGCCAAUACCACCCAUGCCCCAAAUACCUACAGUGAUGCAAGCGUCCGGUGAAUGAAUGCUUAAUAGCGAUUCGAUCUUCUUGAUGCGGCCUUCAAUUCCAACAUAGUCCUUUAAAUCACAGGAUGAUUCGCGACACAAUUUGGUCCAAAUAUCCUUUACAACUUCCUUAACUAAGUCGGCAUCAGUCCUGGCAUAAUGAUUAUGAAAGAAAGCAAUAGUUAGUCUUAAAUAUACAUACCUUACAAAAUCUUAGCACAAAUAAAAUCAUCACAAGUUUAAAGAAAAUUUAUAAUUUAAUACAAGUUAAAGAAUUAGUUAGUUACCCAUAAUUUUGUGAAACAAACCCAGAUAUAUCUGCUGCAUUCUUCAAAGCAUUGCUCCACUUGUGCACCUUAUCAAUACCGUCCUUGAAACGUUUUUCAAGUUGAGCAAAUGCACCCGCAUAACUCCCGUGUUGUUUUCGUACAUCAGAUGGAUUGAUGUCGUAGAAUACAGGUAUAACCAUCUGGCCAUGUUUUUCCUUGCAUUCGAGUAUAUGCACAAGCUCAUCCAAACACCAAGUGGAAGAAGCAUAGUCCUUCGAGAAAAUGAUCACCGAAAGCUGUGAUUCCUCGAUUGCUUGGAGAAGGGCAGGUGCGAUUUCAUCUCCUCUCUUAAGCUUGUCAUCAAUAUAGGUUGUGAUUUUUUUCUCAAGUAAGGCAGCGUGAAGGUGGCUGGUAAUACCACGGCGGGUGUCCUCACCUCUGAAACUAAUAAACACAUCGUACUUUUUUGUAUCAUCAGCAUCAACAGGAGCAGCAGCGGAUGAAGAAGAAGACGCGAUAUCCAUAACCUCUAGUUUUCAGAUCCAGCAAAAACAUGUAGUUGCAGACAGAUUAAUGUUUAAUUAAGGAGAUAAUAUUAUGACGUUGCACGAAUUAAGGAGAAUUUACCUAGAAUUGGCACAAAGUUUCAGUGAGUGAGAGACGAAAGUAGAAACAUAUUUUCUUUGAAAAAAACUAUAAUUUGAAGAACGAUAUUCAUAUAUUUGCAAUCUUGAUAUGAACGACGUCAUCUCAGCAUGUAAAACUACCAGUAGUUGAAAACCAUAAAAUGAUAUAAAUGCAAACCUCGUCUCCUUGCUUUGCUCCCCUCACAAUCAGUAUCAUCAUCGUCACCUGAUCGAUUCCUGCAAGUGAAGUUUUGGUUAUGUUUCGUACAGUUAUUAGUCAAUAAACAUAAAUCGGAUUAUUAUGCAUACCAAAAAACACCGCACAAAAGGAUGCAAAAAAUAAACUUGAGACCUCUUUGUUAUGUUCUCUUCCUUCUUUUCUAUUUCCAUCUGCGCUUUCUCUUUCAAUCUAUUGCAAUGAAGCUUUUCAGAACCUCUGUUAAGAGAACCGUUUAAUCCAAACGUCAAAAGGAGAAAUUAACAGCAGACGUAACAAAAAUUAAUUAGCAAAUUAAAUGUCAGCAUAACAUAACAACUGAACUUAUUAAUUACGAAGAAAUGACAAAAAAUAUAGAAAGAGCCUUAAACAGUAUCAAUAAACAUUAAACACUGACUAACCUCUGACAAGUUACCAAUUUGACAAGAAACCAAAUCUUCUGCACCCAAAAUGAGUGUCGCCUCUUUGUGGGACUAAUGAGUGUCUGCCGCCUAUUAAAUUCAUGAAAACAAAAUUAAGAAAAGUUAAGAUAUUGUAAGACAUGAGCCAUAGAGAGGCCACACCCAUUUUGGGUGCAGAAGAUUUGAUCUCAUUUGACAAUGGCUUGUUUGUUUUCUCCACCUUCAAAACAAGAAAAUUUCAACUUCAAAAUAAUAUAUCCAAAACAAUUACUUUUUUGUAUCUUCAGCAGUGGCGGCAGCGGAUGACGACGAAUAAGAAGAAGAACCACAUAUAUCCAUAACCUCUAGUUUUCAGAUCCAGGAGUAGUAGUUGCAGAGAGAUUAAUUGUGAAUAGAGAGAAAGAGAGACUGGUUCAAAAUUAAGGAGGAUACAACAAAAGCGAGAGAGAGAGUAAUUCAGAAUUAAGGAGGAUCUAAUGAAAAACAGAAAAGAGAGGGGGAGAGGGAGACUAGUUCAGAUUUUACUUGACUUAGCCUUUGACUAGAUGCACAGAGUUCCAAAAGCUCUUUUGGAAAAGCUCUAUGAGUAAGAGAUGACCAGUUACAGAAGCAUAAAAAUGGGCAUAUGGGAUGGGGCCCGCCCUUUACGCGCUUUGCGCAGGCUCCAGAUUUGCUGUCCCCAAAAGUAUGUCUCGUUUGUGUUUUUUUGCUAAUAUAUUGACACAUGUCUUUUAACUUAACCUAAAAUCAUGGUCUUAAAUGCCGAUAAUAUUAGCGAAAUAUCGCUGAUAUUAUCGAUUUUUCGUGGUAACGAUAUUUUAAUAGGUAUCCAAUUAGUUUUCGUCAAAAUAUCGCAAUAUAUUCGAUAUUAUCGAAACAAUCUCGUCGGAAAGGCAGCCGAGGCUGCGUCGUCGCACUACCCAGAUCUAUUGCAUACUCAGACCUAAGAUCUGCGCCUCAAUGACGGCGAUUCCGCCGCCGUUGCCGAAGUCGCGGCAAAAUAGCUUGUGGAACGGAUCGCAGUUGUAGAUCCGGAACCCGUGGUCUGUCCCCACGGCGAAGCAGGCGGGUCUUGGUUGAAGCAGACAUGGAAUAGAGAUGGAGGCGAGCGCGGCGCUGGCGGGGCGGGCUCUGGGGGGAGAAGGAGAAUGGGUGGUUGUUGUGGAGGUUGAGGUUGGGGUUUGGGGGCAAUUAGGGGUCGUGGUGGUCGUUGCUGGAGUCAACGACAGAGGUGGGGUUGUCGUCAGUGGGAUUGGUGAGGAAGGCGGAGGCGGAGAUGAAAGAGUGCGAAGAGAGAGAGAGUGAGUGAGAGCAGAGAUGAGAGAGUGUGAAUAAUAUGCGGUGGUUGUGCAAGUUGAGGAUUCAAAAAAUUGGGUAAUGUGAGGUAGCAGAUGUUGACGUUUUUGGAUAGUUUAAAAAUUGAAAACCAUGGACUUUGAGAUGGUUUUAAUCAUGAAAACCACCCAAGGUGGAUGGGUGAUGGGAAAUAGCAAGAUGAGGUGGAUGGUUUAUAAAGUGGAAUAUAUAUAUAUAUAUAUAUCUUAUAUAAAUUAUAAAUUAUUGUUUUCGAUUACAAUUUUACAUAAUUUAAUAGCAUCUUCAAUAUAAAUUUUAAAUAAAACCCCCACAACCAUAUAAUUCUUAAAUAAAUAAAAAAAAGGGUAAUAGUUACUCAUGUAUCUUACCAUGCAAUGUAUAAAGUGUAAAAUAUUAUACUAAUUCAUUAUAUAUAAAUGAUUAUGGUGUGUUUAAACUUCUUUUAUUAAUUACUACAUAUUUUCUACACUCACAAUGUUUGCCAGCUCGCUAUAUAAUCAACUUAAAUCAGUUAAAUCCAUCAUGCAAUGCAUUUCCUUCCAAUUUUUGUGAUAAACUAAUAGAUAAUUGACUAAAUAAACAUCCUGCAAAGUUUCAAUAAAAAUUUCCAAGUUUUUCUUACAAUUUCUGUGGUUUCCAUAUUAUUUUUAUCGAUAUCGAUAAUAUCCCGAUAUUUCCAUCGAUAUUUCCGUGUUUUUUGACUAUCGAUAUUUCUGAUAUAUUUAAUACCUUGCCUAAAACUAAUUCUGUUAACUUUAUUUAUUUAACAUUUAAAUUUAAAAAAUCCCAAAUAAUAAAAAAAACUGUUGGGUUAACGAGGUGAGCAAACCCUGCACAGACGCCUAUCACACCGUGGAGGUCAGACCCAAAAGUCUCUUUCUCCUUCAACAGCCUCCUGGAAUGCUCAGCCCUGAACUUCUGGGUCUCCUGCAACAUACAAUUCAAGCUAAUUACACAAUCAAACAUGCAUUUUGUAUUCCAGAAAGAAAAAAAAGGCAUGAAUUUUCAAACAUACUUGCAGAUUCUGCGAAUUGGGUAAUUGGGUCAGGAUAAAGUAUACUUGUGGGGCGUCGCCGCCGUGGCUCUUGGCGGCGUUUCGGAAUAUGGGUUUUAAUGGCGGAAGAAGAAUAUGAAUAACGACCGAUUAUGGCGUUUUGGAGGGAGGAGCGAGUGCCGGGCUCCAAACGAGAGAGGAGCCUAACCAGCUCCAGAUUUGGGUUUGCUCACCUCGUUAACCCAACAGUUUUUUUUUAUUAUUUGGGAUUUUUUUUAAUUUAAAUGUUAAAUAAAUAAAGUUAACAGAGUUAGUUUUAGAGUUAGUUUUAGGUUAAGAUAAAGGAGAUGUGUCAACAUAUUAGUAAGAAGACACAAACAAGACAUAUUUUUGGACACACUUUAGUAAGUCGCCAAUUUCUUUCAAGAAUUUCCAAACAAUAUCCAAGCAGUUUUGACUAAAGCAAGAGAGAGAGUAGUUCAGAAUUAAGGAGGACCAGAUGAAACAAGAGAGAGAAAGAGGAAGAAUAGAUCAGAAUUUACUCGAAUUGGCUUUUGACUAAAGUUCCAAAGGCUCCUUCAGGAAUAUCAGAUAUCAAUGAGUGAGAGAUGAAUACUUAUAAAAGUACACGAAGGGGAACAUGUGAUGGGGCCAUCCCUUUACGCUCUUUGCACGGUUGUAAAGUUUUCCAUUUAGUCAGUGACCAGUUUCUUUCCAAACAAUUUUCAAGCAAUAUCGAUUGAGGACAUUUUUAUAAUUUUCAAAAGAAAAUAAGUGAAUUUCACACUACAAAAUCAUAAAGAGCUAAGCAUAUAGUUGUUCACCAAUUGAGAUUGAACAAGAUUUGAAAUAUGUCUUUCCGAGCACAAGUGACAAAUCAAUUCAUUGAAUUAUAGAAUCUCAUCCCAUUUAGUUUGAUUUCAUUAUAAGAUAUACACAAUCAUUACAACUAUCAAUCUUACUACCAUAUUAGUUAAAUAAUUUAUGCUUUAAAUGCACGUUCGUUGUGUUCACUAAGACUUUUCCUUCAUCAACUUUGGUAUAUUUGAUUUCAAAGACCUUGGCGGAGGAAGUUGCUAUUGGAAGUUUGCAAAAUAAAAAGGAAUCGACAUCGUUACAAUAAAUCCAAGAUUGGUGAUUGAUCCUCUCUCACAUCGAACUCUGAACACAAGUAUGGAGCCUAUUCUGAAACUCGUAAAUGGUACUCCUAAGCAAUUAUUUAUAAAACUUCAUUACUCAUUAAUAUAUUGCAUGAUUUUGUCAAGUAAUCAUUCCUACUAGAGAACCUAUUUUGAGGGGUUUGGACGGUGGAUGAUUGUUAAGUUUUGAACGGAGAGCCCAAAGCUAUUCGACCAAAACGAAGAUGGAAAAUCCAGACUACAUAGAUGUUACAGAUUUUUAACAUCAUCGGUGCAACAGUGAGCAGCAACUAGAGCGCAGUGGGUUGAUCAAUUUACAAAAAAAUCCGUGACUCGAGCAGCAACUACGACACUUAUUUAGCUUGUUCGUGCAUCGUAGCAGAUCGAGAUCGACGAAAAAAAUUAAAACCCAAAUACUCAUAUUCUAAACUCUAAAAAAUUGAAAUCAAAUAAAUAAAUAAUUCAUAAAUCGAGUCAUGGAGGAUUCAAAAGUUCAAAAUCACCAUCCAUCAAUAAAAAAAAACUUGUGUUUCUCUAUAAGAGCUAUUAGGUUUUAGCCGGAAUAAAAGUAUGGAUAAAUACGGAGUGAUGAUAGAGUUUAAUUAUAGUGUGUGAGUUUAUAAAUUUGAGUUUUAUUAUUAAUUUUAUUUUGUACUUAAUAGUAAUUAUGCAAUAUGAUAAAAAAGACAAUUAACAUUUAAAAUUUAAAUUAGGUGUAAAAAGAGGUUACAUGAGUUUAAAUAAAAUACCUAUAUUCACAUGAAUUAUAUUUAAACAUCAAAUGAUGAUUAUAUUAAAUAGAUAUAUUCACAAGAAUUAUAUCUAACUAUCAGAUGAUAGUUGUAUGAAAUACAUGUAAGUAUUGUUGGCAAUCUCCAAAUUUUAAUACUAUAGUUGAUUUAGUCGUAGUUUUUAGCAGACUAAAUAAUAUCUUACAUGACCUGUUAGCAUGACAUGUUUCAGUAUUACCCAUGGGUACUUGUUUCAUCCUAUUAAAUGCAUGCACCUUUUAAUAUUUUUAUAUAUCCCCCAUCAAGCCCAUUCCGACCACUCCAUCAUUAACUCCCGAAUUUUAGAAAGACGAAUAGUUUUUAGGGAACUUUAAUAAAAAGCUUACAGUACUGUUUAUUUUAAUGAAAAAUCAUAUUUUUACACUAAAAUGUAAUUUUUCGUUAAAGUAAAUAGUACCGGAAGUUUUUCGUUAAACUUGCCUAGUUUUUAUAGUGCAUGAUUAGAAAUUAUAGUUGGAUAUAACGUCUUGUUGAUUGUUGUUUGGCGCUACUCGUUUCUCUUGAGAUUUCAAGUUCCAUUUGCCAAAAAAAAAAACAUAAUUUCUAAUAUAUGUCACAGCUUAGGUCGUGUCACCCGUUACCUAAGGAGUCAGGUUUGAGUUUGAAUUUCGUCACUCAUUAGCUUAAUGAGUUGACGUGAUGUGAUACAUCUAAAUGACGGGUUAACACAAACACGACAAAUACAACUUGUUUAUCAUGUCUAACUUUAGGGUGAAACCGAUUUAAUUGGGCAUACGGUAGAAAACCUAAUGGUAAAAGUCAAUUAACAUUUUACUUUGACACAUAAACAUGGUUAAUACGAGGAGCGAGGAGCGUGCAAAUGGGAAAAUAUAACAUAUGUCAUCUCCCUGCUCUUUUCUAUCUUUGUAACCAAACACAACCUCACCCUUACCAAACAUAAAUCUUCUUCGCCGCUUCCUCUUCCUUCCGCUCGAACAAAUCAUAACCGGCCACCGCGGCCUCGUCGGCUCUGCCAUUAUCCUGCAAGCUCCAUAUUCUAGGAUUCAACAACCUCGCACCCGCGAAGGUCUCGACCUCACAGGCAAAGCCGGCGUCGAGUCCUUGUUCACCACCAAGCGAGAAGCCCCAACUCGUCAUCCUCACCGCCGCAGAAGACGGUGGCAUUCACUGCUGGGUGGAGUCGACGAUUGGAGUAGUGAUUGUGUGUGGGGUCGACGGAGAAAGCUUAGUGCAACUAAUAAACUCGUGUUUUUUUUCUGUCUGGAAUUCCGACUUGUUGAAUUUUAUCAUUUUGGUUUACAUCUGCCAUGGGAAGAAGAUUAUUAUUUUGGUUUAGGUGGUCUGUCAUGGUAGAUCGGCCAUGGAAAGAAAGGAACAAGAAAAGAUGAAUGCUUGGUUAUUUGGGGCUGUUUGGUUGCUAAGAUAGCAGGGGUGUGGGAGAGAAUUUCAAAUGACAGAUGUUGUAUUCCUGUUGGACCACAUAGCUUAGUGAGUAAGUGUGUACUACCCGGACAACGUAUCAUCCGUGCAAAUGCGCCUCAACUGAACUUUAUCUCCUUCCUCUCUCUCACAUACAGUACACACCCACGCACGCACAGAGAAAAAAGGAGAGACAGCGGAGCCGCGCAGAGAGAGAAAGAGAGACGGCGGAGAGAGAAAGAGAGAGUAGCGUUUCCUUUCAUCUCUUACUUAUCUCCAGUCUCUGCAAAUCAUAACAGCAAGUGGAUUGCAAUUCCUUCAUUUCCAUCCCUCCCGACCCUCUGUUUUCCAGGCAAGCGUUUGUUCCUUCCUCUUUCUCCCAUUUUCUUUUUACCAGUGUUUGGUUAUUAAUAUUAUUGUUAUUAUUUCAAUUUUUUUAUUGUUCCAUUUGAAAACACUGAUAUAUUUUCUUUGUGGGUUAUCUUAUUCCUCGUUUGGCAUCUAGGAUUGGAUUGGAAUGGAUAAACCACUUUCUACCAUUGUUGUGUACCAGAAAUUUUGUUUCUUUUGAUUUCUUAUGUACGAAGAACCCUUUUGGUUAAGGCUAAAUCUGUGCUUUUCACUCAAUUUUGCAUAAGUUCUUAAUCAAUCCUAAUCUCUGAACAAAUGAUUAUUUGUUCUUAUCUCAUGUUUUUAUUUUUUGUAUGAUAGUUCUUUCUUUUUGGUUGAAUUCUUUUUAAUGUUCUUGUGAGUUGUGAUGCGAUCGCUCCCUCUGGCGCCUCUUCCCUGUUGAUGUGUAUAUAUGUAUGUCGUGUCAUUUGGUGAUAAAAGAAAAGGGGCGACCCCAACUCAACAAGGCUCCUCGCUUUGCUAGGGUCGGGGGGACGUCUAUUGUACACAACCUUACCCUUGCUUGCAAAGAGCCUGUUUCCACGACUUGGGCCCGUGACCUUUCGGUCACAAAGGAGCAACCUUUUCGUUGCGCCAAGGCUUGCUCUCUGUCAUUUGGUGUUAUGGUAUCAUAAUUUCUUUGGUUUUUAUUUGGGAGGGUUUUUGUUGUUGAACCAUCUUUUAUUUGUCCGUGAUUGUAUAACUGGAGCAUGAGAAUUUGAUGACUAGGUCAUGGCUGGGUGUUUUGCUUAAGACCCAGCGGAAAGUUCAAUUUUUCUGCAGAGAAACCUAGUGUUUGUUUCAUACACAAUGGAAAAUGUUGUGGAUUCGGAUAGUUAGGUAGGAUUCCGUUAUGGAGAAGAAUUUUGUCUUCUGGUGUUAGGUUGAGUCAACGUGAAAUACAAAAUUGGCAAAUUGAUACUGCUAAGUUUGCUAGUCAUAGAUGUACAAUGUCUUCUCCUUCUGAAUAUGGGACAUGCGGGUUCCUUUUUCCGCUUAUAGAUAUCAGUUUCCUAAGAACACUGCUUUGCACUUUGGUUGAAAUUGUGUUUGCUUGUAUGUGUGGCUAAACUUAGGGCUGAUGCAUGUAUUUUGAACCUUUUACAUGAUUAUGUGACUUAAAUUUGUUUUUGUUUAUAGGUACGACCAUAUGUUCCAGUGAAGAUGAUAAAAAUAGUGGAAACAAGGUCUAGCAUUGUGCUGGUACACUAUUAUCUCUGGUAGAUAAAGUGGGUAGUAUCAUCGCACUUACUUGGAUAGUUGUGCUUCUUUGUGACAGUUUCGCUUCAUCUUGCUCAUAAGAAACCACUAAGGCUGGAAGCGUUUAAUGUGACCCUCGUGCGGAUAGUGAGCCAGAUGGUAUUGUUAUACACUUCAUAAUGUCACCACACAUGUGUAUUGUGUAGGGUGUAAAGAUUGUGAGUGUAAAAUAUGGAGUUGUCUUUGCCCUUCUCAUUGCAAAGGGAUUUUCCCGUCACUUCUCUCAGAUCCAGCUUCCUCCCUUGGAAUCCUCCUUGCUUAUUAGGUACAGUCAAGAGGAAUUAUAAAAACAAUAGGAUCUCAGAAUAUCCCUUUUUCAGUUUCUUGCUCAUCUGUCAAAACUGUCCGCAGUCCUUCACUAGACAAGCAUGUUGUGAAGCAAAACAAGAUACGUUUUGUCCAAAAGCUACAAACACUGCUUCUUUCCAAACCGAAGUGCUAUAUUCCAAUUCAUAUUCUCAAUAAGUGUCGAGCCUACCUUUCCCUAUCAAAGCCACGAUCCAUUCUCUCAAUGAUUCAUCGAUACCCUACUAUUUUUGAACUCUUCUCAAUCCCAACAGCUCCCUUGCCAUCCAAUGCAACUAAAUCAUUAUCACAACUCUGUGUCCGUCUAACCCCAGCUGCGGCAGCCCUUGCUGCUGAGGAAUUAAGUCUCAAAUCAGCCAUCUCUGACUCCUUGGCCACCAAACUCCAGAAACUUCUUAUGCUCUCUUCUCAUCAUCGACUACUUCUGUCAAAGUUGGUUCACCUAGCUCCAGAUCUUGGUCUUCCCCCUAAUUUUCGCUCUCAUCUAUGCAAUGACUAUCCAAAUAAAUUCAAGACUGUUGACACCUCCUAUGGCCGUGCACUUGAGCUUGUCUCCUGGGACCAAGACUUGGCAAAGCCUUUACCAUGUCCAGAAGUUCAGUCACGUGAGUUAAUAGUAGACAGAC